GGGCACAUGGUGUAGUUGGUUAUCACGCCCGCUUAGCAUGAUCCAGAGGACUACAGGAGCCUUGUCCUGCGGGCGGUCCCCGGUUCAAUUCCGGGUGUGUCCA